UGGGGAAUAUUGGACAAUGGGCGAAAGCCUGAUCCAGCCAUGCCGCGUGUGUGAAGAAGGUCUUCGGAUUGUAAAGCACUUUAAGUUGGGAGGAAGGGCAGUAAGCGAAUACCUUGCUGUUUUGACGUUACCGACAGAAUAAGCACCGGCUAACUCUGUGCCAGCAGCCGCGGUAAUACAGAGGGUGCAAGCGUUAAUCGGAAUUACUGGGCGUAAAGCGCGCGUAGGUGGUUCGUUAAGUUGAAUGUGAAAGCCCCGGGCUCAACCUGGGAACUGCAUCCAAAACUGGCGAGCUAGAGUAGGGCAGAGGGUGGUGGAAUUUCCUGUGUAGCGGUGAAAUGCGUAGAUAUAGGAAGGAACACCGAUGGCGAAGGCAGCCAUCUGGCCUAACACUGACGCUGAGGUACGAAAGCAUGGGGAGCAAACAGG
rnacentral:rRNA from 1 species